UACAGAGGGUGCGAGCGUUGUCCGGAAUCACUGGGCGUAAAGGGCGCGUAGGCGGCUUGAUAAGGUUGCGGUGAAAGCCCGGGGCUCAACCCCGGGUCGGCCGUGGCAACUGUCGAGCUGGAGCACUGUAGAGGCAGGUGGAAUUCCGGGUGUAGCGGUGGAAUGCGUAGAGAUCCGGAGGAACACCGGUGGCGAAGGCGGCUACCUGGACCGGUUCUGACGCUGAUGCGCGAAAGCGUGGGUAGCAAACAGG
rnacentral:rRNA from 1 species